UGGGGAAUUUUGGACAAUGGGCGCAAGCCUGAUCCAGCCAUGCCGCGUGCGGGAAGAAGGCCUUCGGGUUGUAAACCGCUUUUGUCAGGGAAGAAAUCUUCUGAGUUAAUACCUCGGGAGGAUGACGGUACCUGAAGAAUAAGCACCGGCUAACUACGUGCCAGCAGCCGCGGUAAUACGUAGGGUGCAAGCGUUAAUCGGAAUUACUGGGCGUAAAGCGUGCGCAGGCGGUUUUGUAAGACAGAGGUGAAAUCCCCGGGCUCAACCUGGGAACUGCCUUUGUGACUGCAAGGCUUGAGUGCGGCAGAGGGGGAUGGAAUUCCGCGUGUAGCAGUGAAAUGCGUAGAUAUGCGGAGGAACACCGAUGGCGAAGGCAAUCCCCUGGGCCUGCACUGACGCUCAUGCACGAAAGCGUGGGGAGCAAACAGGAUUAGAUACCCUGGUAGUCCACGCCCUAAACGAUGUCAACUGGUUGUUGGGAAGGUUCCUUCUCAGUAACGUAGCUAACGCGUGAAGUUGACCGCCUGGGGAGUACGGCCGCAAGGUUGAAAACUCAAAUGAAUUGACGGGGUCAUAGCUGUUUCCUG
rnacentral:rRNA from 1 species